GGGGGUGAAAAUACACAUAGCGCGUUCAAGAUAGGACSRKGCAUGUCUAGUAUAGCAUUAUACCGUGAAACUGCGAAUGGCUCAUUAAAUCAGUUAUCGUUUAUUUGAUAGUACCUUACUACUUGGAUAACCGUGGUAAUUCUAGAGCUAAUACAUGCUAAAAACCCCAACUUCGGGAGGGGUGUAUUUAUUAGAUAAAAAACCAAUGCCCUUUCGGGGCUCCUUGGUGAUUCAUAAUAACUUCUCAGAUCGCAUGGCCUUGCGCCGGCGACGGUUCAUUCAAAUUUCUGCCCUAUCAACUUUCGAUGGUAAGGUAUUGGCUUACCAUGGUUUCAACGGGUAACGGGGAAUUAGGGUUCGAUUCCGGAGAGGGAGCCUGAGAAACGGCUACCACAUCCAAGGAAGGCAGCAGGCGCGCAAAUUACCCAAUCCCGACACGGGGAGGUAGUGACAAUAAAUACUGAUACAGGGCUCUUUAGGGUCUUGUAAUUGGAAUGAGUACAAUUUAAACCUCUUAACGAGGAACAAUUGGAGGGCAAGUCUGGUGCCAGCAGCCGCGGUAAUUCCAGCUCCAAUAGCGUAUAUUAAAGUUGUUGCAGUUAAAAAGCUCGUAGUUGAACCUUUGGCCUGGCUGGCGGGUCCGCCUCACCGCGUGCACUCGUCCGGCCGGGCCUUUUCUUCUGGAGAACCGCAUGCCCUUCACUGGGUGUGUUGGGGACCAGGACUUUUACUUUGAAAAAAUUAGAGUGUUCAAAGCAGGCCUUUGCUCGAAUACGUUAGCAUGGAAUAAUAGAAUAGGACGUGCGGUCCUAUUUUGUUGGUUUCUAGGACCGCCGUAAUGAUUAAUAGGGACAGUCGGGGGCAUCAGUAUUCAAUUGUCAGAGGUGAAAUUCUUGGAUUUAUUGAAGACUAACUACUGCGAAAGCAUUUGCCAAGGAUGUUUUCAUUAAUCAGUGAACGAAAGUUAGGGGAUCGAAGACGAUCAGAUACCGUCGUAGUCUUAACCAUAAACUAUGCCGACUAGGGAUCGGGCGGUGUUACUAUUUUGACCCGCUCGGCACCUUACGAGAAAUCAAAGUGUUUGGGUUCUGGGGGGGAGUAUGGUCCGCAAGGCUGAAACUAAGAAUAUGAUCUCGAGAGAGGAGGG
rnacentral:rRNA from 1 species